GCUUGUAUGAAUGGUUGGACGAGAUAUUAACUGUUUCAUAUUAAAUUUAUUGUAAAAUUUUAUUUUUUAGUCAAAAAGCUAAAAUAAAUUUAAAAGACGAGAAGACCCUAUAAAUCUUUAUAUUUAUUGUAUUAUAAUUUUUUAGAAUUUUUUUAUUGUAAUAUAAAUGAAAUAUUUUAUUGGGGUGAUAUUAAAAUUUAAUAAACUUUUAAUUUUAAAAUUCAUUAAUUAAUGAUUAAUUGAUCCGUUUUUAACGAUUAAAAAAUUAAGUUACUUUAGGGAUAACAGCGU
rnacentral:rRNA from 1 species